rnacentral:misc_RNA from 1 species
GUGAGUCAUCGAAUCUUUGAACGCACAUUGCGCCCCUUGGCAUUCCGAGGGGCAUGCCCGUUCGAGCGUCAUUAUAACCCCUCAAGCCCAGCUUGGUGUUAGGGCCUGCUGUUGCCGGCAGCCCUUAAAAUCAGUGGCGGUGCCAUCUGGCUCUAAGCGUAGUAAUACUUCUCGCUACAGGGUCCCGGUGGAUGCUUGCUAUCAACCCCUAAAUUUCUACGGUUGACCUCGGAUCGGGUAGGGAUACCCGCUGAACUUAAGCAUAUCAAUAAGCGGAGGA